rnacentral:rRNA from 1 species
CAGGACGACGCUGGCGGCGUGCUUAACACAUGCAAGUCGAACGAGGGAUCAACCGGAAGGCUUCGGUCGGAAGGAUGAUUCGAGUGGCGGACGGGUGGGUAACGCGUGAACAAUCUGUCCCAGUGAGGGGAAUAACACUUGGAAACAGGUGCUAAUACCGCAUAAGACCACAGCACCGCAUGGCGCAGGGGUAAAAGGAGCAAUCCGCAUUGGGGUGAGUUCGCGUCCGAUUAGAUAGUUGGUGAGGUAACGGCCCACCAAGUCAACGAUCGGUAGCCGACCUGAGAGGGUGAUCGGCCACAUUGGAACUGAGAGACGGUCCAAACUCCUACGGGAGGCAGCAGUGGGGAAUAUUGGGCAAUGGGCGAAGGCCUGACCCAGCAACGCCGCGUGAGUGAAGAAGGCAUUCGGGUUGUAAAGCUCUGUUAUGAGGGACGAAGGAAGUGACGGUACCUCAUAAGGAAGCCCCGGCUAACUACGUGCCAGCCGCCGC